AUCCUGGCUCAGGAUGAACGCUAGCUACAGGCUUAACACAUGCAAGUCGAGGGGCAGCAUAAAGUCAGCUUGCUGAUUUGAUGGCGACCGGCGCACGGGUGAGUAACGCGUAUCCAACCUUCCCUAUAGUAGAGAAUAGCCCGGCGAAAGUCGGAUUAAUGCUCUAUGUUCUUCUUUGAUGGCAUCUGACGAGAAGCAAAGGUUCACCGCUAUAGGAUGGGGAUGCGUCUGAUUAGCUUGUUGGCGGGGUAACGGCCCACCAAGGCAACGAUCAGUAGGGUUCUGAGAGGAAGGUCCCCCACAUUGGUACUGAGACACGGACCAAACUCCUACGGGAGGCAGCAGUGAGGAAUAUUGGUCAAUGGGCGAGAGCCUGAACCAGCCAAGUAGCGUGCAGGACGACUGCCCUAUGGGUUGUAAACUGCUUUUAUAGGGGAAUAAAGUGAGGAACGUGUUCCUCUUUGUAUGUACCCUAUGAAUAAGGACCGGCUAAUUCCGUGCCAGCAGCGGC
rnacentral:rRNA from 1 species